GCCAGUGCCAAUUGCACUUUGAAUGCGCCGGUUAGAUCUCUGGAGUUAAGCAACGCUGCGUGUGAUUGGUAUUCGGAUGGAUCAUUUGGGCAAUCGCGUGCUGCUGGUU
rnacentral:rRNA from 1 species